rnacentral:rRNA from 1 species
CCUACGAGAGGCUGCAGUGAGGAAUAUUGGUCAAUGGGCGCGAGCCUGAACCAGCCAAGUAGCGUGAAGGAUGACUGCACUACGGGUUGUAAACUUCUUUUAUAAAAGAAUAAAGUGAGGCACGUGUGCCUGUUUGUAUGUACUUUAUGAAUAAGGAUCGGCUAACUCCGUGCCAGCAGCCGCGGUAAUACGGAGGAUCCGAGCGUUAUCCGGAUUUAUUGGGUUUAAAGGGAGCGUAGAUGGGUUGUUAAGUCAGUUGUGAAAGUUUGCGGCUCAACCGUAAAAUUGCAAUUGAUACUGGCAGUCGUGAGUACAGUUGAGGUAGGCGGAAUUCGUGGUGUAGCGGUGAAAUGCUUAGAUAUCACGAAGAACUCCGAUUGCGAAGGCAGCUUACUAAACUGCCACUGACAUUGAUGCUCGAAAGUGUGGGUAUCAAACAGGAUUAGAUACCCGAGUAGGC